UACGACUUAGUAUAAACAACAGAUAACCUAUUCAGACUUUAAGAUGCCAUCUUGAACUAAGUCAGGAAAAUUUCCAUGACGUAUACACCCUUUAGUUAUGGCCUUGUAUGUUUGCCAAAUUAAGGGAGGUCCUAAAUUGAAUAAAGUAAAAGAAGUGUUACUUUUUCAUAUUUGAACUACAGUAACCUUAGAAUGGAGACACCUAAGGUAUAAAUAGGUGCACUUUUAAAUGUUAAGACACAG